rnacentral:rRNA from 1 species
GUGGCAGCCGCCGCGCGGUAAUACGUAGGGUGCGAGCGAUAAUCGGAAUUACUGGGCGUAAAGCGUGCGCAGGCGGUUGUGUAAGACAGGUGUGAAAUCCCCGGGCUUAACCUGGGAACUGCGCUUGUGACUGCACGGCUAGAGUAUGGCAGAGGGGGGUGGAAUUCCACGUGUAGCAGUGAAAUGCGUAGAGAUGUGGAGGAACACCGAUGGCGAAGGCAGCCCCCUGGGCCUGCACUGACGCUCAUGCACGAAAGCGUGGGGAGCAAACAGGAUUAGAUACCCUGGUAGUCCACACCCU